rnacentral:lncRNA from 1 species
UUUUGCAUGUUUUUGGAUUUUCAGGUUUACAACACCAAACGAAGUAGAAUUGCCCUGAAACUUUUUUAUCUUUUUUUAUGGACCAAAAGAAGACCUCGAAGCAUCAGGAGGAGACCAGACGCUUCGGGAGAGAGGAAACACACAUCAGGGCGCGCCUAGGGUUUGGUUGUGCCCUGUUCUAUGUUGGCCCCCCUAGUUGGUCCCUAAUGCACCUCUUAAUCCUAUAAAUUCUCAAAUACCCACAAAACACUAGGGAGCCACCUGAAACACUUUUUCUACCGCAAAAUAUCUCUUUUUUGUUGUGAG